UUGGAGUUAAUAAUAUGUCAUUUUCCAAACAAAACAAGAAACAGAGAAAAAAAAACACAAGGAGAGCCUUGCCAUAUCUGAUGCACAAAAUAGAGUGGUUCACAUUCAAGUAUUUAUUUGUUCACUGCAUUACCAAUAAAAGAUCGCACAUCAAUGUUUUUUAUGCUUACUUAAAACUAACCGACUCAUUAAGCAUAUUGGCCUCGACACGAGAAACGCGUAGUUACGAAGUUACGCCGUGGAAAAUUAACAAGGAGUAUAAUCUUGUUACUGAAUUUAGACAUACAAAAACGGGGGAGAAGUAACACGAUAUAUCCCCUUGCCACAAAGCAGAUGAUCUUCCGUCUAGAAAAAGAGAGUACCUUCCCCUCACUAAACAAUAUACCACUGUAAAAAGGCAGAGUAUCCUCAUUUGCUUACAAACCAGCCAUACCCAAGCACAGGAAAUUUGACAAACUUUCAGCCUUUGAUUUGCCCUCAGUGCAACGCACACCUCCAGUCCACUCGCCUCUAUCAAUAGGGCGUCAUCUCUAUGAAUUUCCAUCUCCAGCAAAAGCACUAUUUAAUAACAAAAUUAUCAAUGGCCAUGUUAUCACUCUAAAACAUAUGCACAUGUAUACUGCUAUACAAAGAUUAUAUACACGAUUUCUCUCUUUAUCAGGUAGGUGCCUUGGAUUAUAUCGCAUCUUGCAAAUAAAUGCUCAACGCACAGCAAACCAAUGGAAUGGAGACAAUGCUCCUGGCAGGCAACCUUUGAUGUACAUAUAUAUCAUUAGAUUAGUACUUAAUGGAAAAAACUUUCAACCUCACUAUUUUUAGCAUAUUUCAGUUCUCUUAAAAUUGUUUCUUGGCCUGAUGCCGAUGCUUAUCAUAAUUACCUUCAUUCGUGAGAAACAACUAUAAAAAAAUACCAGCUGGCUAGAUCAAGCACAGUCAAUAGUUCCGUAUGGUACAAGGCAAUAGAACAUUUACAUCUGGAUUUGAAUAUGAAAAAUAUGACUACUGAUAAUAAAAGAAAAAUAUAUCAUCCUCACCUGCCAUAAAUUAGUUAAUGCGCGGAUGGCUGGCGACAUAUUUGGCCCUGUAGUUGGUAACCGCAACGCAACAACUUUCCGCUGCCUGCAUUCCCUGCACUUGCCCAUCUCUGUGUCACGAUCAUGCUCCUCGCCCUUGUUGCUGCCACCCCAAAAUUCAGAAACAGUAGACGCCUACAAUGCAAAAUUCAGUCCGUUUGAAGUCACAAGGAACUAAGGAACUUGGCCGGCUUCUUUGUGAUGAUACGAAGCAUCCAGCGUCAUCACCGCAUAUGUGUAGACGAAAAAACAAUUUGAAGUUUUUACCUCGUAAUUAGAAGGCACAUGUUGUGCACAUAUAAAUGUCUGAACUCUGAAGUAUGAAGCAGCAUUGAAUUCAGUGAAUCCCAUAAUACUGGACACUGGACUAUUUCAAUCCAUAGCACGAAAAGUCCUAGCGCGGCAUAAAAAAUCCUUUCCCUGACUGGAAAAGUGCUCAACGUCG
rnacentral:lncRNA from 1 species